AACGAACGCUGGCGGCAUGCCUAACACAUGCAAGUCGAACGAGACCUUCGGGUCUAGUGUCGCACGGGUUCGUAACGCGUGGGAACCUUCCCUUAGGUUCGGAAUAACUCCCCGAAAGGGGUGCUAAUACCGGAUAAUGUCUUCGGACCAAAGAUUUAUCGCCUUUGGAUGGGCCCGCGUUGGAUUAGCUAGUUGGUAGGGUAAAAGCAUACCAAGGCGACGAUCCAUAGCUGGUCUGAGAGGAUGAUCAGCCACACUGGGACUGAGACACGGCCCAGACUCCUACGGGAGGCAGCAGUGGGGAAUAUUGGACAAUGGGCGAAAGCCUGAUCCAGCAAUGCCGCGUGAGUGAUGAAGGCCUUAGGGUUGUAAAGCUCUUUUACCCGGGAUGAUAAUGACAGUACCGGGAGAAUAAGCUACGGCUAACUCCGUG
rnacentral:rRNA from 1 species